AUUGAACGCUAGCGGCAUGCCUUACACAUGCAAGUCGAACGGUAACAGGUCUUCGGAUGCUGACGAGUGGCGAACGGGUGAGUAAUACAUCGGAACGUGCCUAGUAGUGGGGGAUAACUACUCGAAAGAGUGGCUAAUACCGCAUGAGAUCUACGGAUGAAAGCAGGGGAUCGCAAGACCUUGUGCUACUAGAGCGGCCGAUGGCAGAUUAGGUAGUUGGUGGGAUAAAAGCUUACCAAGCCGACGAUCUGUAGCUGGUCUGAGAGGACGAUCAGCCACACUGGGACUGAGACACGGCCCAGACUCCUACGGGAGGCAGCAGUGGGGAAUUUUGGACAAUGGGCGCAAGCAUGAUCCAUCAAUGCCGCGUGCAGGAUGAAGGCCUUCGGGUUGUAAACUGCUUUUGUACGGAACGAAAAGCCCCGGGUUAAUACCCUGGGGUCAUGACGGUACCGUAAGAAUAAGCACCGGCUAACUACGUGCCAGCCGCCGCCGUAA
rnacentral:rRNA from 1 species